rnacentral:rRNA from 1 species
GAUGAACGCUGGCGGCGUGCCUAAUACAUGCAAGUCGAGCGAACGGACGAGAAGCUUGCUUCUCUGAUGUUAGCGGCGGACGGGUGAGUAACACGUGGAUAACCUACCUAUAAGACUGGGAUAACUUCGGGAAACCGGAGCUAAUACCGGAUAAUAUUUUGAACCGCAUGGUUCAAAAGUGAAAGACGGUCUUGCUGUUACUUAUAGAUGGAUCCGCGCUGCAUUAGCUAGUUGGUAAGGUAACGGCUUACCAAGGCAACGAUGCAUAGCCGAACUGAGAGGGUGAUCGGCCACACUGGAACUGAGACACGGUCCAGACUCCUACGGGAGGCAGCAGUAGGGAAUCCUCCGCAAUGGGCGAAAGCCUGACGGAGCAACGCCGCGUGAGUGAUGAAGGUCUUCGGAUCGUAAAACUCUGUUAUUAGGGAAGAACAUAUGUGUAAGUACCUGUGCACAUCUUGACGGUACCUAAUCAGAAAGCCACGGCUAACUACGUG